UACGUAGGGUGCGAGCGUUAAUCGGAAUUACUGGGCGUAAAGCGUGCGCAGGCGGUUAUGUAAGACGGAUGUGAAAUCCCCGGGCUCAACCUGGGAACUGCAUUUGUGACUGCAUAGCUAGAGUACGGUAGAGGGGGAUGGAAUUCCGCGUGUAGCAGUGAAAUGCGUAGAUAUGCGGAGGAACACCGAUGGCGAAGGCAAUCCCCUGGACCUGUACUGACGCUCAUGCACGAAAGCGUGGGGAGCAAACAGG
rnacentral:rRNA from 1 species